rnacentral:rRNA from 1 species
UACGUAGGCAGCAAGCGUUGUUCGGAGUUACUGGGCGUAAAGGGUGUGUAGGCGGUUUUCUAAGUCUGGUGUGAAAUCUCCCGGCUCAACUGGGAGGGUGCGCCGAAAACUGGAAGGCUAGAGUGCGGGAUGGGAGAGUGGAAUUCCUGGUGUAGCGGUGAAAUGCGUAGAUAUCAGGAGGAACACCCAUGGCGAAGGCAGCUCUCUGGCUUCACCCUGACGCUGAGGCGCGAAAGCGUGGGGAGCGAACGGG